rnacentral:lncRNA from 1 species
UUACAGCAUGAUCUUGGUGUCAUAAAAGCAACUCAGAUUCUGGCUUUUUGUUUAAAAGAUAAAUACUUUCUUUUUUUUCAUUUCAUUUUUCUUUUAGCUUUCUUAUUAAAGACAACACCAAGAACAUGCAAAAUCAGACAAGGCAGCCUAAGAAACCCAUGUCCAACAUAUAAUUAUUAUGUAAAUUCAGUAGUCAAUUCAUGGAGACUGGGGAGUUGGCUCUGUUGAUAAAGUGCUCAUAGGUCACGAUGAAGCCCUGAGUUCAGAUCCCAGGCUCCAACCCACAAAGCCAGGUGUGGUGAUGCACACACCAAUCAUCAGGAAGAGGUAGAAACAAGAACACGGGUGUUCACUGCAUACGUAUAGUCUCACUGAAUUGGUGAGCUCUAGGUUUGGUGAGACUCUAACUCAAAAAAGAAAGCAAUAAAGGAAGACACUCAACACUAACCUCUAAACUCUACGAGUGUAUACACACACACACACACACACACACACACACACACUCGUUAGCUGUGAGUUUGAAGCUUGCUUAGGGAAACGGGUGGUGGGUGGUGGUUUUAUCUUGAGUCGUGUGUCUCCGGGGCAAUGCAGAGAAGACCCUGGGUGUUAUUAACCUCUGCAGCAGGCAGCGAGUUAGAGUGCACGGUAAGGGUUUGACCUGUUUCUUUCUGCACGUUUGCCUCAGUGUUCCCCUCAUGCUUCCUGUCUCAGACCACGGCUGCAUGAUUGUGAAGCUCGGCUCAGACCCUGCGGCCACGGCCACAUGGACGGAGAAGCAGACGAGACGAGGCUGUUGCAAAACUGCAGCCCACAGUUUCACACUCUGGCUAAUGCUUCUCGCACCUGCCAUUUUAAAAAGAAAAGCAGUCACCUCUGCUGGCAGUUGAUUUAUGAUGUUUCUUUGUCACCUUUGAAGCCCUGUGAGAAUGUCUUGGCUUAGGUUUGUUUUUUUUUAAUCAGCUUUAAAAUUUAUUCAUCUUGUUUAUUGCAUUAGUCUUGGGAAUGAGUGAAUACUUUAGAAUUCUUCCAAGCCUGAGCAAUCCUUGUGAUUGGCAUUGGAAAUGACUGGCAAGUGAAGACAGGGUAGAGGAACUAGGGAAGGAAGAGAUGAUACUUGCAUCUCUUCUCCAUGGCAUCUAGCGUAUUUGUGGAGCAUCUUCUGGGGACCGGGAAGUGCCACACUCACAUUAGAACACAGCUCUGCCUCAUUCCUUCUGCUGUCAGGAUGGCCUCUUAAUCAUGGAGUCCCUGCCAUCCUGAACAUUAGCCCAUUUGCUUCCAACAAACUUGUGUGGCCAGUGUGGUUCUCAGUGUGCAAAAGGUGAGGCAGUCUGGGGACAGUGAUUUCCUCUGACCCAAUGUAAGAUAAAUGACAGAGCUGAACUCCAGUCAGAGCAAGUCCAAGAUCUUUUCAGAAUAUCUAUCUGUCCGGAACAGGGAAGCCUAGGUUGAGGGGUUCCAUCUAAUGGGCCAUCUUGCUGCUUUGUAAUAGGGUAGUGUUAUCAUACAAGGAGGUGGGAGACUUACUUAACAGCCUUGAUAAUGACAGUUGAUUGAAAGACAGAGCUCCUGUUACCUUAUUAUUGAGCUCCCCAUGCCAACACUUGCAUCAAGGGUUACAUUUUCCACAUAUGAGCUUCAGUGAGCACAUCAACACCCCAGUACAGCAUUCCUUAGUGUUCUUUCUCUACUCCACCCCGAGGAGAACUGACUUUGGUGGUGGCAUAGGGCCACCUUCUGCAGAGUCUCCCAUCUUGUGAUACUUUUUUUGCAAGGUUUCUUAUGGGCUCCUCCUUUGACAUGAAGAUCAGCACUCCCUUGGGGGCCUAAUGAACAUGCCAUUUUGUGCCUGGAACAGCUUUUCUACCUUGGAAGAGUGACAGGCAAACUGUAGUAAUGGAACUUGGCAAUUUGUGAGAUAUUUUCCU